GCCUGGGUGGCUUAGUCGGUUAAGCAUCAGACUUAGGCUCAGGUCAUGAUCUCACGGUUUGUGAGUUCAAGCCCCACAUUGGGCU
rnacentral:tRNA from 1 species